CGCAAGCCUGACGGAGCAAGACCGCGUGCGGGAUGACGGCCUAAUGGUUGUAAACCGCUUUUCUCUGGGAAGAUGAUGACGGUACCAGAGGAAUCAGCCUCGGCUAACUCCGUGCCAGCAGCCGCGGUAAUACGGAGGAGGCAAGCGUUAUCCGGAAUUAUUGGGCGUAAAGCGUCCGUAGGUGGUUAUUCAAGUCUGCUGUCAAAGCGUGGGGCUUAACUCCAUAGAGGCAGUGGAAACUGGAUGACUUGAGUGCGGUAGGGGUCGAGGGAAUUCCCAGUGUAGCGGUGAAAUGCGUAGAUAUUGGGAAGAUCACCAGUGGCGAAAGCGCUCGACCUGGGCCUGCAUCUGACACUGAGGCGACGAAAGCUAGGGGUAGCG
rnacentral:rRNA from 1 species